UAGAGACCAAGGUAUAGGCUGGGCUUAGUUCUCAUGUGAAGCCUCUGGGGAAAAAGUUCACUUCCACGUUCUUUUUUUUAUUUUUGCAGUCGCACGCAGGAAAGGAGGAAAUUUUCGAUAGAAAAAGCUUGGAGAUCCUGUUGCUGUCACCCAUCGCGCUGUUGGAGGCUGGGAUUAGUCCGGAACUCUGCAGGAUCUCUGAAUUGAUUGAAUUAACUGAAAGGGACAAGGGAGCAAGAGAGAAAGCCUGUGACUUGCUGGGAACCGGUACUAGUGACUCAGUCACAUAAAAGGACACACUAUUAAGGAGGUGAGUAACUAGGAGAACUAGGAGGGGAGAUGAGGGAGGCUUCUGGGGUGCUGUCGGUGUCCUGUAUCAUGAUCUGGGGGAGGUUACAUCAUCUGCUCACUGUGUGAAGAUUCACUGAGCUGGAUGUACACGUCUACCUUGUGUUCACAAUUGAAUUGAAUACAUGAAUAUAUUAUUAUAUAAAUAUACAAUAUGCAUAUAAAACUUAAAAAACAAAGUAGGGAGAUGAAGGUGGCUUGGACCAGACUUAUCAGUGGAGGUGGGAAGAAAUGAGUGGGUUCUAGAUCUCUUCUAUAGGUAGAUCCAACAAGAUUUGCAAACAGAUCUAAUGUUAGGUUUGAAGAAAGAGAACAGUCCAAGGUAGUGUCAAGUUCUUUGGCUGAGCCACAGCGAAGACUGAGGGACUGCUGUGUACCAGGCCUUGGGCUAAACUCUACUAACUUUUUUAAUCUUCAUGACAGUUCUAGGAAGUAAGUCUGGCAAGAGCCCUUUCUGAGGUUUUUGUGGGGCUACUGGGAGCCGUUCCUCCAGAAUUGUAGUUUGUGUGAUGGAUUCUGGAGCAAGUGAUGGCCACCUUUGCCUCCACAAGGAUAGAGUCUGCCUGAGAGUGAAGGUGAUAAGGAGGAAAUCAAAGCCAUGAUAGAGAGAGACAGGAUCCUCACAAUAACGUGUCAGCUCUUGGGUUCAGCCAUACCUGAAGCCCAGCCAUACCCUGGGCUUCUCAGUUAUAUAAAUUAAUAAUUCCUUUUUUUUUUCUUUUUUUUCACUUCUAACUGAAGAGUCCAGACUAACACAACUUCUUCAUAUGUG
rnacentral:lncRNA from 1 species